AGCCUAAACUUUUAGAAAUAAAGGCAUGGUGAACAAAGUCCGAUCAAAGCAAAAAACCCAUCAUGGGGGAAUGCUUUGAUCGGCCGUAUCGGGAAACCGAUAUGGAUAGCGCAAGCUAUC
rnacentral:sRNA from 1 species